GACGAACGCUGGCGGCGUGCCUAAUACAUGCAAGUCGAACGCUGAAGGAGGAGCUUGCUUCUCUGGAUGAGUUGCGCACGGGGGAGUAACGCGUAGGUAACCUGCCUGGUAGCGGGGGAUAACUCUUGGAAACGAUAGCUAAUACCGCAUAAUAGUAGAUGUUGCAUGUCAUUUGCUAAAAAGGUGCAAUUUUGUCACUACCAGUUGGUCCUGCGUUGUAUUAGCUAGUUGGUGGGGUAACGGCUCACCAAGGCGACGAUACAUAGCCGACCUGAGAGGGUGAUCGGCCACACUGGAACUGAGACACGGCCCAGACUCCUACGGGAGGCAGCAGUAGGGAAUCUUCGGCAAUGGGCGGAAGCCUGACCGAGCAACGCCGCGUGAGUGAAGAAGGUCUUCGGAUCGUAAAGCUCUGUUGUAAGGGAAGAACGAGUGUGUGAGUGGAAAGGCCACACUGGGAGGGUAUUUUACAAGAAAGGGACGCCUAACUACGG
rnacentral:rRNA from 1 species